AGGUAAUAUUGAUUAAAUGGUGAUCAAAUGAAGAGGCAAGUCACAUAGCAAGUGUACAUGGAAUGAAGAGAGUUUUCUGGGAAGGAAUGGGGUUAAAUUUGAAAGAUGAAGACACUGGCCCAAAGAAGUGAAGAGACUCCCCCAAAUCAGAAGCUAAUGAACAUUAAAAUUGUGUCUGAACCCCGAAGCCACUACAAGACAUAUGCCAAAACCUGGAAACGAAUUGGGUGAUGUAUUUCUAAGAAAAUGUAAACCUAUACAUUGCUCAUGGUUUCAGAGGACAUGUAACCCACCCACCUAGCAUCUAAGGCUGAGGAAUCUUUGGUAGGAUUUCAUGAAAGGGAUGGACCCAGUGUCCAGUCCUUUAUUUCUUUAUUUGUGUGUGUGUGUGUGUGUGUGUGUGUUAAAGGACUGAAUCCUAGGUCUUCACACUGAGACACAUCCCCAGCCCUCUAGCCCUCCACCUUUUUAUUUUGAGACAGAAUCUUCCUGAGUCAUGUGCCAUCAUUCCCAGUUGGUUUCCAGUUGAGAAGACAGGGCCCUACUUUUCUUUUUAACUGAUGGUUUAUAACUGUGUAAAUUUACAAGGUACAAAGUGAUGUAAUUUAUGAAUACAAUGUGGAAUAAGUAAAUCAAACUAGUCUAUCCAUCACCUCAAAUACGUAACAUUUUUUCAGUGAGACUGGGCUUUAUUCUUUGUUAUUUUGAAGUGUACAAUGUUGUUAUUAACUAUAUGCUAUACAAUAAAUUUUUUGAAAAAUC